GUGAGACGAUGUGUUCCCAGGAAACCUGAAGCUCACGAUGAACCUGCAGAAGAUGACAACAUGCAGAGAGAUGUGAAAAUAUCACAUCAUCAACAGCAGAUGAACAGAGCUGCAGUUUGCUCAUCAGUGAGAACAGAAGACGUCUAUUAUGGAGAAAUCAUCAUCAAAGACAAGAAAACCAGAUCAAAGACGAGAGAAAGUGAUCCAGCUGUAAUUUACUCAGCAAUGAGAACUGAAGAUGUUAACUAUGGACAAAUAACUGUCACACGGAAAAUAAAAAGAG